AGCCGCUCGCGGGGUGGAGCGAGCGCGCUCCGAGGGCUGUCGCCUGCGCGCGGUACGGGUGGGGAGAGGGAGAGAGAGCCUUAGCGGUCGCCGGUAGAGUUCGCUCUCUCUCCCGCGAGAAAGCGGCAAACAAUGCGCUCCGCGCUACCGUACGAUACGCUUCGCUGUUGUCGGACGACGACGACGAAGACGACGACUCUCUUUCUCGCAUACGUACCAUUCCGUCUCCGUGCGAUACACGCCAGUCGCGCGGGCGGCGGUGCGUUAGCCUUCCUCGCUUGCCUCUCUUUCUCUUCUCUUCUCUUCUCUGUCUCUCUGUAUAUAGAAUCUAACUGACCUCUACCUCUGUCUCUGCCUCUGUGUGCUGUGUGGCGAGUUGAGUAGCUAGCUGGUGUUGCUUAGUGCAUGCGGUUCUUCCUCUGGGCUCCGCGGGCUCUGUCUUUCGAAUGUAUGCGUCAGUACCGCGGGCAGUAGAGUGCAGCAAGCAGCGCCACCGCCUCGACCGGACCAGCAGCGGCAGCAGUUUCGAGGCAGCCUGCAGGAGUUCGCGCUGGAGCGCGAAAGGGUAUGGAGGAGACUGCGGCCCGCAGCGUCGCGACGACGCCCUCGCCGGUGCCCGCGAGCGUUGCCUGCACGGCCAUCAGCGCUGCCCAGACGACGAGCACCAGCAGCACGAGCGGCAGCGCUGCCGUCGCAGCUGACGCGGCCGCUGUCUUCGCCAGUCCGCCGAAGAGCAGCGCGCCGGUCCGGAUACUCGGCAGGAACGUCAACGGUACCGUUGUGCAGACUUCCAUGCCGCAGAACGAAGCUGAACUCCAGCUGUAUCGCGUCAUGCAGAGGGCUUCGCUGCUCACCUACUACGACACCCUCCUGGAAAUGGGUGGCGACGACGUGCAGCAGCUCUGCGACGCCGGCGAGGAAGAGUUCCUCGAGAUAAUGGCUCUCGUGGGUAUGGCCAGUAAACCCCUUCACGUGCGGCGACUGCAGAAAGCUCUUCAGGAGUGGCUGACCAAUCCCGCUAUGUUUCAGACGCCCGUCCUAGCACCUCCCUCCACGAAUAGCUCGACGGCGACGACGUCGGGCGCGAAGCCGUCCACGACGCCGGUCGUCUUCCCCUGCAUCGGCAGCUACAGUCCCAACACGAGGCAACAGCAGCAGGUCCAGUCAUCGGCGGGUCCGGCUAUGGCAGCGGUCAGCUCGAUAGCCUCCCAGAGCGCGGCGAAACUCCUGACGGCGAGCUCUUCGCUGGGCUUGCCCGUGGCCCCGGCUGCCGCCACGCCCCCGAGUAUGGCCUGUCAUAGCGGAGGCAGUCCGCUCGUUCAGUCGGCUGCAGGCGGCAACCAGCUGCUCAGUCAGUUCUCCGCUGCGUCCGGCUGCUGUCCCAUUCAGCGACGCAAGAGCCUCAGUCCCCCGGCGACAAGCUCGAGUCUGGCCUUGGCCGGCCUGCAGAUGCAGCAGGCCAUGCCCUCGGCUGCCGAGUCCGUCAUCGCUACCGGCCUACCCCUUUCCCGCAGUCCCGGGAUGAUGCAGGUCACGAAUUACGAGUCUAGCUCGUGCGGCAGCCAGGGCACGACGCCGAGUCCGGGCAGCAACAGCGUGAUGCCGAACGCGCCCCAGAGUCCGACGCUGUGUCUGCAGCAGGCGACGCCGAUACUGCUGGAGUCGCAGGUCCAGCGGCUCGCCGAGGCGGCCGAGAGACUCGCCGCGACUCUGAGGCCGCCCAACCCGAAGCCCCAAAGCGGCAUCAAGAAGAAGAUGUGCAAACAUUUGGAGAUGGUCAUGGCCAUGCCGGACAGCGAUCCUCGCCGGAUGGAGGAGAUUCGCAAGUAUGCCGCCAUAUACGGCCGCUUCGACUGCAAGAGAAAGCCGGAGAAGCCGCUGACGCUGCACGAGGUGUCGGUAAACGAGGCCGCCGCUCAGAUCUGCAGAUUCGUCCCGGCCCUUCUCACCAGGAGGGACGAGCUCUUUCCACUCGCGAGACGCGUCGUGCGCGACUCCGGACACUACUACACUAAGAGUUUGCUACACUCUUCUUCUAACAAUUUGCUCAGAAUUAUGUCGUCGAGGGAGAACGGCGACGGCGACCUGUCGGGCGGCGACGACUCGUCGCUGCUGACAGCCCCGACGAGCGGCGAUUCAGCGAAAAGGCGAAAACUGGAGCUGCGCUGCGAGGACGAUUCUGUUGCCGGCAACAGGGAGCAUCCCGCUGAAUCGGCCCAGCAGCAGGCGGAAACUGCACAGAUCAAUCGCACUGGCUAUAGUCGAGGCCCGAUAGCUACUGAUUCUGAUAGCAAUUCGAUACAGGUGCAUCAAAAUCGACACCGGAAGCGCCAACGUCGGCGCAGACCUUCGAAAAUCGGCCAUAAAUCAAUAUCGAGUUUGGCAAACUUGCACUGACGGUAACAGUAUACUCCUCGACGGGGUUGUCGACGGACUCGAAGACUCGGAUGGUUGUUAUUCGUCUUUUGACGAUGAUUGGGAUGAUUGCAAUGACGACUGUGAAGACAACAUGGGCAUCGAUUCGGACGAUGCCGUCCGCGUGUACAAUGAUCAAGAUGUUUCGGGUUCUGCGCCCCUGACGCAUGAUGUACAAAAUCGAGGUGCUGCAGAAGAUGACGACGUAUCCUGCAUGAUGGAUAAAGAAAAUGAUUUUAAUUUAAAGGUCAUUGCAUCAUGUGGGGAUAACAUCAUAGCAGUAGCCAAUCCUGCUUUGAUGAAUCGCAAUCAACCUACUCCAAUGACAAAAGAACAACCUGCAAUAAAGGAAGAAAUUACGCUACGCGAUAGAAGAGACUGAACAAUAAAAAUAAAUUUGUUUUAUACGUUCCAAGCCUAAUUUGAAAAUAAAAUUCUAUCACCUUAAUUAAAUCUGACAUUUUAUUAUAUCUUUUGGAUCGAUCGAAAUAUAAAUAUAAGCGAAUUGUAAAUAUACUUUAAGAUAAAAUGAAAUUGUUUGUUAAGCGCAUGAAUCUUCAAUCACUCAUUUUGUCCUACCACUUUUGUUAAUUUAAAUUAGUAAUUAGUAAAUAUAUAUUAAUAGAAGUAGAAUUAAGGGCAUUCAUCGAUGAUACAUGUACCUGCAGAUAACAAAGGUAUCAACGAAAUUACUCGUCAAAUAAAUUAAAACUUUUGAUCGUU